AUUGAACGCUGGCGGCAGGCCUAACACAUGCAAGUCGAGCGGAUGAAGGGAGCUUGCUCCUGGAUUCAGCGGCGGACGGGUGAGUAAUGCCUAGGAAUCUGCCUGGUAGUGGGGGAUAACGUCCGGAAACGGGCGCUAAUACCGCAUACGUCCUGAGGGAGAAAGUGGGGGUUCUUCGGACCUAACGCUAUCUGAUGAGACUAGGUCGGAUUAGCUAGUUGGUGGGGUAAAGGCCUACCAAGGCGACGAUCCGUAACUGGUCUGAGAGGAUGAUCAGUCACACUGGAUCUGAGACACGGUCCAGACUCCUACGGGGGGCAGCAGUGGGGAAUAUUGGACAAUGGGCGAAAGCCUGAUCCAGCCAUGCCGCGUGUGUGAAGAAGGUCUUCGGAUUGUAAAGCACUUUAAGUUGGGAGGAAGGGCAGUAAGUUAAUACCUUGCUGUUUUGACGGUACCAACAGAAUAAGCACCGGCUAACUUCGUG
rnacentral:rRNA from 1 species